rnacentral:lncRNA from 1 species
CCUGCCUCAGCCUCCUGAGCCACUGGGAUUAUAGGCAUGUGCCACUGCGCCCUACAAAAGAUGUUUUCUUAACUGGGAUUCCGUGCAAGGUGGGAGAGUGGAAUUGUGGCCUACUUUGACCCCAUUUCAAAUUUCCCAUGGGAUGCUGGGAAUGUGUGAGUGGCUCUGAGGUCAAGACAGGUCCCUUGAAGCAGUCUGCCUUUCCCCUUGAUUGUCUGCAUCUCUCAGACUCUGCAUUUCUGUGUUUGCAAAGCUACCUCAAGGCAAGGUCAAACAAGGUCAUGCAUGAUGUCAAGUGCCAGGUGGGUUCCUGGCCUGAGACGCUUAGCCUUGAUCAGCACCUUUCUCUUAAUCUAGAUUAGCUCCUUCCCUUAAUCUAGGUCAACCCCUUUCUCUAAAUCUCUAUUAACUCCUCUCCCUUAGUCUAGGUUAGCCCAUUUCUCUAAUCUAGGUUAGCUCCCCUCCCUUAGUCUAGGUUAGGUCCCUUUGCUCCCGGGGCACGCACAGAGCGGCUGCGGGACUGACCACC